rnacentral:misc_RNA from 1 species
GAAAUGCGAUAAGUAAUGUGAAUUGCAGAAUUCAGUGAAUCAUCGAAUCUUUGAACGCACAUUGUGCCCGCCAGUAUUCUGGCGGGCAUGCCUGUUCGAGCGUCAUUUCAACCAUCAAGCCCCCGGGCUUGUGUUGGGGACCUGCGGCUGCCGCAGGCCCCGAAAACCAGUGGCGGGCUCGCUGUCACACCGGGCGUAGUAGAUUUUUCGUCUCGCCCAGGGCGUGCUGCGGGUUCCGGCCGUUAAAAAGCCUCUCUUUUUAACCCAAGGUUGACCUCGGAUCAGGUAGGAAGACCCGCUGAACUUAAGC